ensembl:lncRNA LINC00683 long intergenic non-protein coding RNA 683
AGGGCGGGUGAGGACCCUGCACACACACGGUGUGUUUGUGAGCUGUGCAGAGUGGGGUCUCCCUGGCAAUGGCCACAGCCUCCAGGGGCGCUGACACCUCCCGUCUAACUGGUAGACAGUUUCUGCCUCUUCUUGUUUGGGGAUUGGAGAGGGAAGUGCGUCUGGAUGACUACUAAGAGAAUACACUGCAUCGAACACAGAACAAAAAGACUCACUACAACGCUGCAGCCACAAUAGUGUGUGAUUUCAAGUCUUAAAAACCAGAAUCACUUUCUUCUCUGGACUGGAAGCAUAUUUAUUUUGGCCGAAUAACAGAGUACACCAGUCAUCAUAAGAAGAAAAAUUCACAUUUAAAGUUUGGAAAGCAACAGGACAAAGGUCUGUCUUCAGUGGUGCGUAGACAUGCUCGUGAUUGAAUUGGAAAUAGUUCUCUUUCCUUCUCUCUGACUUCCUAACUGAAAAGCUGCAGCGUGGGGAGAAAGGCUGCUCAGAAGCCUGGAGCCAGAACACGCACCCCGGCUUUUGCAGGGCCGGCUCACUUGGUUAGAAUCAAAGGAAAAGCCUUGUUAUUUGGGAAGCUGGGCGUCCUCACCAAAUUAGGGGAUUUAAUUUGCAGAUAUCUAAGGAGUGCUUUGAAAUGAAAGAUGAACUAAAAUCUGCUCUGAGGCCCGUGAUUUUUCACCAGUGAAGGACUCUCUUGCUGCUGGACAUACAUGAAAAGCAUCAUCUGAUCUGAAACGCAAGUCCCUGCAAGACAGAGGAGAGACUUUAUAAACAUUUUAUACCAUUCUAUGAAAUCAAUUCGAUUCAGGGCUAGAAUUCAAGAAGUAAUCCAUGGGCAAGUAUAUCUGAUGGUAAACCCAAACGAUUAUAUUGUUAACCUCUUGUACUUUUUUUAAUUUUUUAUUAUUUGAUAUUAUUAUCACAAAAGUCGCUGGAACAGGAUCCAUGAGCUGCUUCUUCACUGCUUAGUGUUUUCAGAAGCUGAUGGAUUAUUAAGCUCCAAUUGAAUACUUGAUUUCCAAUGAUUCCAUUAAUUUUUCUGGUUUGUGGUAGGAUUUGAUUUACUUAUUUUGUACUUUAACACACCAAUAAAAAAUAGAUACUAAGAAA